UACGUAGGGGGCAAGCGUUGUCCGGAUUUAUUGGGCGUAAAGAGCGUGUAGGCGGCCAGGUAGGUCAGCUGUGAAAACUCGAGGCUCAACCUCGAGACGCCGGUUGAAACCAUCUGGCUAGAGUCCGGAAGAGGAGAGUGGAAUUCCGUGGUGUAGCGGUGAAAUGCGCAGAUAUCAGGAAGAACACCCGUGGCUAAGGCGGCUCUCUAGUACGGUACUGACGCUGAGACGCGAAAGCGUGGGGAGCGAACAGG
rnacentral:rRNA from 1 species